GGCAUGAGCACCAUGUCCACCCAUGCCUCCUCUUUUUUUAAGAGACAGUCUCACUCUGUUACCCAGCUCCAACCUGGGCAAGAGAGCCAGACUCCAUCUCACAAAUACAUGAAUACAUAAUAAAAUAAAUAAAAUAUAUUUUUUAAAUGCCUAGAACAUUCUGUUCUUCUUAGUGAGGACCGCCCUCUAUUGAAACUAUUUUUCCAGAGCCUAAUUGGCCUGCGGAAAAGAAAAUAUCCAACCUCACCCACCUCCUUCCACAACUGGAUAAGAGAAAUACCUAUUCCAGCUCCCCCAGCCUUCCUAUGUAGCCUAAAGGGCAGUGGGGAUGGAACUGAGAGAAAUGUGUAAAAGGCACAACCCUGGGGCAUAGGCUCACUGCAGACUGAGACCUGGUCUGGCUUGGUGGCUUGUGAAUUAUAGGUACUAUUUUGACAGCAGAUCUCUAGAAUUUAUUCACCUUAUAUAACAGAAACUUUGCACCCAUUGAAGAACAAUUCUCCAUUUCCCCUCCUCCCAGCCCCUGGCAACCACCAGCCUAUUCUCUGCUUCUGUGAGUUUGACUCUUUUUUUUUUUAUGAGACAGAGUCUCACUCUAUCUCCCAGGCUGGAGUGCAGUGGCACAAUCUCGGCUCACUGCAACCACCACCUCCCAGGUUCAAGCAGUUCUCCUGCCUCAGCCUCCCAAGUAGCUGGAAAUAUAGGUGUGCCCCACCACCCGCCUCAGCCUCCCAAAGUGCUGGGAUUACAGGCGUGAGUCACGGUGUCCAGCCCAUUGUCA
rnacentral:lncRNA from 1 species